rnacentral:rRNA from 1 species
AGAGUUUGAUCCUGGCUCAGAAUGAACGCUGGCGGCGUGCUUAACACAUGCAAGUCGUGCGCGAAGGCGGCUUCGGCUGCCGGAGAGCGGCGAACGGGUGAGUAACACGUGGGUAAUCUGCCUGGGAGUGGGGGAUAACCUGGGGAAACCCGGGCUAACACCGCAUACGACGUCGGGUUCUUGGACCCGAUUUGAAAGCUGGCCUCUGCUUGCAAGCUAGCGCUCCCAGAGGAGCCCGCGGCUGAUUAGCUGGUUGGUGGGGUAAUGGCCUACCAAGGCGACGAUCAGUAGCCGGCCUGAGAGGGUGAUCGGCCACACUGGAACUGAGACACGGUCCAGACUCCUACGGGAGGCAGCAGUGGGGAAUAUUGGACAAUGGGCGCAAGCCUGAUCCAGCAACGCCGCGUGGAGGACGAAGGUCUUCGGAUCGUAAACUCCUGUCAGGUGGGACGAAGGUUCGGGGGUGAAUAAUCCUCGAGCUUGACGGUACUACCAGAGGAAGCCCCGGCUAACUCCGUGCCAGCAGCCGCGGUAAUACGGAGGGGGCGAGCGUUAUUCGGAAUUAUUGGGCGUAAAGGGCGCGUAGGCGGCUUGAUAAGUCAAAGGUGAAAUCCCUCGGCUCAACUGAGGAACUGCCUUUGAAACUGUCUGGCUUGAGGCCGGGAGGGGAGCGGAAUUCCCAGUGUAGCGGUGAAAUGCGUAGAUAUUGGGAGGAACACCGGUGGCGAAGGCGGCUACCUGGACCGGUUCUGACGCUGGUGCGCGAAAGCAUGGGUAGCAAACAGGAUUAGAUACCCUAGUAGUCC